rnacentral:tRNA from 1 species
GGUGGCUCAGUGAUAGAGUGCUUGUCUCGCAUACAUGAGGCCCUGGGUUCAAUUCCUCAGCACCA